UACGAAGGGGGCUAGCGUUGCUCGGAAUCACUGGGCGUAAAGGGCGCGUAGGCGGCCUUGUAAGUUGGGGGUGAAAGCCCGUGGCUCAACCACGGAAUUGCCUUCGAUACUGCUUGGCUUGAGACCGGAAGAGGUGAGUGGAACUGCGAGUGUAGAGGUGAAAUUCGUAGAUAUUCGCAAGAACACCAGUGGCGAAGGCGGCUCACUGGUCCGGUACUGACGCUGAGGUGCGAAAGCGUGGGGAGCAAACAGG
rnacentral:rRNA from 1 species